UAUAUGUUGUGCGUGAGUUACAACAAAUGUACCUUUGUGAAUGUUGGCAAUUCACAGUGCUUGUAUCAUUACUUCUCCCUCGUUCUUUGCCCAUAAAUGGGUCUAUUUAGCUCUGAGUUUCAGCCAUCCUAUUGAGGACCCACACCGAUCUAGUUUGGCUCUGGAAAUGACCCAGAGUUUCUUGGAUCAAUUCCUACUCUAGAGUCUAGGUAUCCCUGGUCAUGGGGUUUGCAGGCAUGAUUGUGUAUUCGGGGGUUUAUAUAGUCUGACCGGCAAAAUGGGGUGGGGAAAAAAAAAAAAAAGCAGGAACACAAAACAAAAACGAAGAAGAGAGAAGGAAAAAAAGAA